rnacentral:rRNA from 1 species
AGUCUUAAUUGUCCAACCAGAAAUCUUAUAUACCUCUCCCGAAUAAGAGCGAGUUUUAUUCCGUUAAUAGAUUUUUUUUUGUUAUCCGGGCUUAAUUGACGGGGGGGGCAGGCCUAAACAAUGGCAAGUGAGGGGAGGAGAAGAGCCUGCUUUUUGAUUCAGCGGCGGACGGGUGAGUAAUACCUAGAAUCUGCCUGGUAGUGGGGACAAACGUUUCGAAAGGACGCUAAUACCGCAUACGUCCUACGGGAGAAAGCAGGGGACCUUCGGCCCUUGCGCUAUCAGAUGAGCCUAGGUCGGAUUAGCUAGUGGGUGAGGUAAUGGCUCACCAAGGCGACGAUCCGUAACUGGUCUGAGAGGAUGAUCAGUCACACUGGAACUGAGACACGGUCCAGACUCCUACGGGAGGCAGCAGUGGGGAAUAUUGGACAAUGGGCGAAAGCCUGAUCCAGCCAUGCCGCGUGUGUGAAGAAGGUCUUCGGAUUGUAAAGCACUUUAAGUUGGGAGGAAGGGUACUUACCUAAUACGUGAGUAUUUUGACGUUACCGACAGAAUAAGCACCGGCUAACUCUGUGCCAGCAGCCGCGGUAAUACAGAGGGUGCAAGCGUAUAAUCGGAAUUACUGGGCGUAAAGCGCGCGUAGGUGGUUCGUUAAGUUGGAUGUGAAAUCCCCGGGCUCAACCUGGGAACUGCAUCCAAAACUGGCGAGCUAGAGUAGGGCAGAGGGUGGUGGAAUUUCCUGUGUAGCGGUGAAAUGCGUAGAUAUAGGAAGGAACACCAGUGGCGCAGGCGACCACCUGGGCUCAUACUGACACUGAGGUGCGAAAGCGUGGGGAGCAAACAGGAUUAGAUACCCUGGUAGUCCACGCCGUAAACGAUGUCAACUAGCCGUUGGAAUUCCUUGAGAUUCUAGUGGCGCAGCUCAACGCAUUAAGUUGACUCGC